rnacentral:rRNA from 1 species
UCAGACGAUGCGUCAUGCAUAUCAAUAAGCGGAGGAAAAGAAACUAACAAGGAUUCCCCUAGUAACGGCGAGUGAAGCGGGAAGAGCCUCAAAUUUGAAAUCUUAAAGGGUUUCCCUUUACGAAUUGUAGUUUAAAGAAGUGUUUUCUGUUGAGGUUUUGGUAAAAGUUCUUUGGAAUAGGACAUCAUAGAGGGUGAGAAUCCCGUAUUUGACCUUUACUUUCAACUUUGUGAUACACUUUCAAAGAGUCGGAUUGUUUGGGAAUGCAGUCCAAAAUGGGUGGUAAAUUUCAUCUAAAGCUAAAUAUUGGCGAGAGACCGAUAGCGAACAAGUACCGUGAGGGAAAGAUGAAAAGAACUUUGAAAAGAGAGUUAAACAGUACGUGAAAUUGUCAAAAGGGAAGCGUUUGACACCAGUGUUGUUUUUCUGAAAAUCAAUUAAAGAACUGUUUAUGCUAAGUUGUUUAGACUUUAUCAGCUAAUCUGUUUAGUUUUGAGCUUUUCUUUAAUGCACUUUUCAGUUAACAAGUCAACAUCAAUUUCUUUUGCUGUAAAAAAGCUUGAGGAAGGUGGCUUGAGAUUCGUCUUAAGUGUUUAUAGCCUCUUGCCUAUGCAGUCGGAGAGAUUGAGGUCUGCAGCGUAGAUCCUUCGGGGCUAAAUGCAUUUGUGCUAAGUUAUAGCAUUUUAUAGACAACUUGUUGACUAUGAUUUGUCUUGUAGCUUACUCGCUUAUGUUAUUUUACCUACGCUUAGGAUGUUGACACACGCGCGUGCUCG